rnacentral:rRNA from 1 species
GAGUUUGAUCUUGGCUCAGAUUGAACGCUGGCGGCAGGCUUAACACAUGCAAGUCGAGCGGGGGAGAUUGCUUCGGUAAUUGACCUAGCGGCGGACGGGUGAGUAAUACUUAGGAAUCUGCCUAUUAAUGGGGGACAACAUCUCGAAAGGGAUGCUAAUACCGCAUACGCCCUACGGGGAAAGCAGGGGAUCACUUGUGACCUUGCGUUAAUAGAUGAGCCUAAGUCGGAUUAGCUAGUUGGUGGGGUAAAGGCCUACCAAGGCGACGAUCUGUAGCGGGUCUGAGAGGAUGAUCCGCCACACUGGGACUGAGACACGGCCCAGACUCCUACGGGAGGCAGCAGUGGGGAAUAUUGGACAAUGGGGGGAACCCUGAUCCAGCCAUGCCGCGUGUGUGAAGAAGGCCUUAUGGUUGUAAAGCACUUUAAGCGAGGAGGAGGCUCCUGUAGUUAAUACCUACAGAGAGUGGACGUUACUCGCAGAAUAAGCACCGGCUAACUCUGUGGCAGCCG